AACUCAAAGGAAUUGACGGGGGCCCGCACAAGCGGCGGAGCAUGCGGAUUAAUUCGAUGCAACGCGAAGAACCUUACCUGGGUUUGACAUAUACGGGAAGCCUGCAGAGAUGUGGGUCUCUUUGAUACUCGUAUACAGGUGGUGCAUGGCUGUCGUCAGCUCGUGUCGUGAGAUGUUGGGUUAAGUCCCGCAACGAGCGCAACCCUCGUCCCAUGUUGCCAGCGGGUUAUGCCGGGGACUCAUGGGAGACUGCCGGGGUCAACUCGGAGGAAGA
rnacentral:rRNA from 1 species